rnacentral:tRNA from 1 species
CCAUUGCUCAGUUGGUAAAGCACGAAGCUCUUAACCUUGUGGAUGUGGGUUCAAGCCCCGUGAUGGG